UGGGGAAUAUUGGACAAUGGGGGCAACCCUGAUCCAGCGACGCCGCGUGGGUGAAGAAGGCCUGCGGGUUGUAAAGCCCUUUCGGUAGGGACGAAAGCUUCCGACCUAACACGUCGGGAGGUUGACUUAACCUACAAAAGAAGCACCGGCUAACUCUGUGCCAGCAGCCGCGGUAAUACAGAGGGUGCGAGCGUUAAUCGGAAUUACUGGGCGUAAAGCGUGCGCAGGCGGUUUCGUAAGUCAGAUGUGAAAUCCCCGGGCUCAACCUGGGAACUGCGUUUGAAACUGCGAGGCUAGAGUGUAGCAGAGGGGGGUAGAAUUCCACGUGUAGCAGUGAAAUGCGUAGAGAUGUGGAGGAAUACCGAUGGCGAAGGCAGCCCCCUGGGCUAACACUGACGCUCAUGCACGAAAGCGUGGGGAGCAAACAGGAUUAGAUACCCUGGUAGUCCACGCCCUAAACGAUGUCUACUAGUUGUUGGUGGAGUAAAAUCCAUUAGUAACGCAGCUAACGCGUGAAGUAGACCGCCUGGGGAGUACGGUCGCAAGAUUA
rnacentral:rRNA from 1 species